rnacentral:rRNA from 1 species
GACGAACGCUGGCGGCGUGCUUAACACAUGCAAGUCGAACGGAGUUGCAGGAGAGCUUGCUCGAAUGUAACUUAGUGGCGAACGGGUGAGUAACGCGUGAGCAACCUGUCUCAUACAGGGGGAUAACACUUGGAAACAGGUGCUAAUACCGCAUAAGACCACAGUGCCGCAUGACACAGGGGUCAAAGAAAUUCGGUAUGAGGUGGGCUCGCGUCUGAUUAGAUAGUUGGUGAGGUAACGGCUCACCAAGUCGACGAUCAGUAGCCGACCUGAGAGGGUGAUCGGCCACAUUGGAACUGAGAUACGGUCCAAACUCCUACGGGAGGCAGCAGUGGGGAAUAUUGGGCAAUGGGCGCAAGCCUGACCCAGCAACGCCGCGUGAAGGAAGAAGGUUUUCGGAUUGUAAACUUCUGUCCUUGAUGAAAAGCAGUAGAUGGUAAUCAAAGGAGGAAGCCCCGGUCUAACUACGUG